GGGGUAACGCCCAUAGGAGAGGACUGAGCCACAGAAGGAAGUUCAGAGGGCAGGGAAAUUGGGACAGAGUCACAGAAGGGGACAGAGCUCACAGAAAUGAAGGAAAGGCCAGAGCCUGUAUACACAGUGGGGCAGGACCCAAAAAGAAAGGACAAAGGCCAUAGAAAAGGGGAGCCAGAGCUCUGAAGUUGGAAAAGUUGUUGCUGAACGGUUCCUAGGGAGCCUCUUGCAAUGCAUUUAUAUGAUUUAAAAUCAUGUGAAGAGCAGACUUUAAAAAAUCCCUCUUUGAUUCUUUAAAAUGUCUCUGUGGGGAUCUGAAGGAGGAAUUCAGGCUUUUUAUAGCGAUGACAGUUCUGUUUGAUCUGAUUUUUUUUCUUUCAGUUGUGGAACUUCUGGAACCAUUAGUGCUUUUGAUGGAGACAUCUGGUGACUGUAGCAGCCCAUAUGUCAGGGUGACUCCUGGGUUCCUGACACAUCUGCAAGAUUUAGAGCCGCAAGUGGCAAGAAGACGCUUAUCUCAGGCACGACACCGGGCUACGCUGGCAGGACUCUUCAACAACCUGCGGGAAACUGUGUUUUCGCAGUCAGACAAUUCAGCAUCAAAGUGUCAGGUUUUGCGUAAAGCUAAGAAUUAUAUCCAGGAGCUGGAGCAAACCUUGGGUACCUUGCUGAAGAUGAAAGAGUCCUUCAGUCUGGAGGAUGGGAACCCAUCCAGCUUGGAGGAAGUCAAGGAGGAAUAUGUCAAGAUGUACUUCAGCGAUCUCGGUACUGCAUCCCCUUCAGAUGCCACGAGUGAGAGUGGCUCUACCGUCUGGUAUUUGAUUCAAGAAUAUGAAAAAAACUCAGUGGAAGAGGAUGGGAAGCCAAGACUUAUCCAGUCCCCAGCCACUUCAUCUCCUGAUCUGAUGGAGUUUGAACGGUACCUGUAUUUUUAUAAACAGACCGUGGACCUGCUGGUUGAGAAUGGGAUUGUGUGCACCGAAGAGGUCACUCUUCCUGUCGUCUCUACAGCUGUUUCCCACCUGUGGCAGAAUCUGCCAGAGGAGAGGAGAGACAGCAUCUUGCAGUACUGUAGUCAGAGACAAAAUGUACUCCCAGACCCUAAGGCAGCCUGCAAUGAAGGCAGUGUGAGGAACAGCAGAGCUAAUAGUCAGGAAGCCAGUGGUUCAUUGGUAUCCACACCCGAGGAGAUACUAUUUGAAGAUGCAUUUGAUGUUGCUGCUGGAUUCCUUGACAGAAAUGAGACUCAACAAGCAAUGUCCAGUCCAGGGUCUGUUAAAGACAACUGCUUGCAGCAACUUGCUCAUGAUCAUACCAUUUGUUAUGGUGUAAGAAUUGCUCAAUGUUCGCAGGCUGCACCUCAGAAAAUCCAGAGGAUAACCACCGGCUCUACUUGCAGAUCACUGGUUUCUUAAAGGGUCUUUUCUUUGCUAACACACAGUUUCCCCAGUACUAAGAGAGCGAACCAUCUCCUGCAUAAGCUGUGGCCACUGAACAGAAGUCCUUGUCAAGCACACUGCUGCCUGGUCAUAGGCCCACAGAUCUGGUAGAUCUGUGGUGUGAGGCGAGCAAGAUGUUCCACUCCAGUAAGAAUCCCAGAAAUGACCGUGUAUACCAAGAAAUAAGCACACAGUGCUGGGAUUCAGCGGACUGGUGACCGUGAAGGGAGCAGACUAAACAGCUGACGAGUGACUACCGGAAAGCUAGGGAUGAGACUGUACACCUCUGGGAACGCCCCAUCAUCCUGUCUCUUUAACGAGGACUUUGACUGGGUGCUGGGUACUGAACCCCCAGCAGUUCACGAUAGCCUGGUCUGCCGGGAUGGCAGCCUUCUGACCUCCAAAUCUAGUAUAACACUGGAGGGGAGCCAGCAGACGCUGGAUCAGGUGACUGGUGCUCGUACCAGCCCCCAGAGAGGUUUUGCUUCCAGAGCAAACACAGCACAUUCUGGGUCCAUACUCAGAGGAGCUGUUUGAUGACACUCUGUGCCCCCCUGCCGUGGAAUUGGCAACAGAAGGAGAAGAGACAGAACUCAGCCCUGGAGCCUGACACUUUUUCUGAGGAAGCACCGAAGCUUUUUUGCAGUACUGAGACAAUAAUGUACAGUUUGAUGUCUGCUUUCCGGCCCUUCCACCUUUGCAGCCCAGCCACAGUCUAACAAGCGCCUGGGAUUUCGAACAAUCAUGAGUGUUGAAAGAGGAAGCAUUUCCAUGAUGAACUUACAGUGGACAUCCUGGACAGGGCCAGCCAUCAGGACCAAUACCAAAGGGAAAAGGAUUCACGGCAGAUGGAAAGACACCAACAGGUUGCAGAGCACAAGGAGCAAAUUGCAGCACAUGAGGAGAGACUUACAGCACAGUUUGUGGCACAAGAACGGCCCUUGAGGGAGGAAGAUAGAGUGCAGCAGAAAGACCUGUUUGAGAGGCUGCUUGCGCCAAUGGCCGCAAGACUUCAGGCUCCUCCCCACCCACACUAUGUCCUUAGUGCCCUCCACGGUACCAUGUCCUGCAGACCACAAAUGCAUUAGAUAAUACCAUGGUUGGAUGGCCCAUGCAACCAGGACUGAAUGCUAAUCGAGCAGGGCAAAUGUACCCCCAGCAGUCCUCCACACUACUGCAGUCCUCCAGCCCCGUGCAGUGGCGCUAAGUGCACACUAAACAAGCUAGAAAGGGAAAGGAGAAUGGGCAGCUGGGGACACGCAGAAGUAGGGACUGUAUUUGCACUGAUUUUACUUGUUUGCACUUAUUUCACUGUUUUGUACCGUUCCAUGUUUGUGUUAUACACUUUAUUUUAUCACUGUUUUUGAUGUUGGUUUAUUACUGGUGUUUUAAUGGCAGCUGGCCUG